GAUGAACGCUGGCGGCGUGCCUAACACAUGCAAGUCGAGCGGCAGCGAGGGGUGCUUGCACCCUGUCGGCGAGCGGCGGACGGCUGAGUAACGCGUGGGAACGUGCCCCAAAGUGAGGAAUAACUGCCCGAAAGGGUAGCUAAUACCGCAUAUUAUCUUCGGAUCAAAGGAUUUAUCCGCUUUGGGAGCGGCUCGCGUCGGAUUAGGUAGUUGGUGAGGUAAUGGCUCACCAAGCCGACGAUCCGUAGCUGGUCUGAGAGGAUGACCAGCCAGACUGGAACUGAGACACGGUCCAGACUCCUACGGGAGGCAGCAGUGCGGAAUCUUCCACAAUGGGCGAAAGCCUGAUGGAGCAACGCCGCGUGCAGGACGAAGGCCUUCGGGUUGUAAACUGCUUUUAUAAGUGAGGAAUAUGACGGUAACUUAUGAAUAAGGAUCGGCUAACUACGUG
rnacentral:rRNA from 1 species